CAUUACUUCUAUUGAGAAACCGUAUCAUUUGUUUCCGAUAAAAACGCACUAAGCUGCCCAUUCGGAAUCGACUUUUAACAUGAUAUUGUUUGCAAUCCGGUAGAAUGACAGAGGGCCCGCCCUCUCCCGGGCGCCGACAAAGCAAGUGUCUAUGCUAGAAUGACAAGUAAUGUUGCAGAACGUUAUGAAUAAAGCAUUUUAAUUGGCCAUUUUUCCUUCGGUCUUUGGGCGCACUACAUGUGCGACCCGGCCAAUUAUAUCGCAUUCUAUUUGUAUACUGUUGUGUUAUUGGACGAGUGUUCGAGAUGGCCUGUCAAUCAGACGUCAACCUAGCUAGCCUAGAACUACGAUUUACCCGCCUUGAAGAAGCUUGCGUGAAAGUGAAGAGAUUUUUAAGUAUCGAUUGUUUUUAAGAUGGCCCGACUGUUAACAGCAAAGGAAAAUUCGGUGGCUUUGUUGAAGCAAUAUCCGUUCAUCCGUCGUUCUGACGAAGAUAAGAAGAGGGUGAAAGUCCUUGGACCUGACUGUCCUGAGCUCCUCAUCAGCCAGAGCACCACCGAUCGUGGAAGGACGUACGUCAGGACCUUUUCUUCCAGUGUGUAUGGUCGCUGGAAUUGGCUUACGGGAUGCGAAGUGAGUAAUGCCCUGUACUGCUUCCCGUGUCUGUUGUUUCAAAGUCCUGGGACAGACAUUUGUUGGGUGACAUCUGGGGUGACGGACUUGAAACACCUGGGGGAGAAGUGUAAAAAGCACGAAAGCAGCAGAAGCCACCUAGACAACAGCUUGAAGCUACGCCUGUUCGGAAGGCUUAGCAUCCGGGAACAGCUUGAUGAAGGCUACAGAGUUGGAAUUAGAAAACAUAACGAGGAAGUGACAAAAAACCGGCACAUUUUGUCACGAAUAAUUGACUGUGUAAAAUUCUGUGGGGCAUUUGAAUUGGCGUUGCGUGGACACGACGAAAGUGCGGACUCAAACAACCCAGGCGUCUUUCUCGGCUUGGUCGACUUUGUUGCCUCAAUUGACAGCACACUGAAAGAGCACUUGGAGACAGCAACUGUAUUUAAAGGGACCUCAAAAACGAUACAGAACGAACUGCUCGAUUGUAUGUUUUCCGUGGUGAGGGAGCAGAUUCUGAAAGAAGUUAAGGACAGUGAUUUCAUUGCCAUCCAGGCCGACGAGACAACGGACAUUAGUACCGUGACCCAACUGGUGCUAGUGCUGCGUUACAUCGACAGCAAAAUGAACGUGCAGGAACGAUUCUUCGAAUUCAUUCCCCUGCAGUCAUCAACAGCCGUGAACAUUGCCACAGAGCUGAAAGAACGCCUUUCCAUAAUCCUUCCCGAUCAAAAAGAAAAACUCAUCUGCCAAGCUUAUGAUGGAGCGAGCGUAAUGAGAGGUGCCACUGGUGGUGUUCAGAAGCGAAUAAAAGAGGACUACCCAAAUGCGCACUACAUCCACUGCUACGCGCACCAGUUGAACUUGAUCAUGGAACAAGCCACCAGUCACAUUUCUAAAGUAAGGAACUUUUUUUCGGACCUUGGUGGCUUUGCCAGUUUUUUUUUCAAGAUCACCCAAGAGGACCAGUGUAUUGGACGAAAUGGUUUCCCGCAGGCUGCCAACUUCCAGCAAGGUCAGGUGGAACUUUCACAGCCGCGCUGUCAACACGGUGUUUGAACACAGAGAGGAUCUCAUCAAAUGUUUCCAUGCCAUACGAGACUCGGGAGACUUCGAUGAAAUCACCGUGAGAGAGGCAGGAGCAUAUGCAAGGAUCCUGGAAGACCCAGACUUCAGGUUCUUCCUGCAACUUUUUCACCAGAUCAUGCCCCUUGUAGACACUCUCUAUGCCAGGCUACAGAAGAGGAGCAUCGACUCAGUGUACAUUAAGAGAUGCAUCCAAAGAUUCCAGGAGGACAUACAGAAGAUCAGGUACUAAUUUGAUUUGGUUUUAGAUACAUUAUUUUAUGGUUUUCUGCUUCAAUAACAUCAGUUAAAAAAUAAUGAAAGCCGUAAAAAAUAAACGAAUUAAACAAACACCUUACUUCCCCUUCACAGAGAUUCUCUCCAUGCCAUGACAGUGGAGCACAGCAGUCUAUCCCUGCAAUCAAGAAAACGUGUGGCUCUCUCUUCAGAGGAUCACCAACGAAUUGCAGCUGAAGUCUGUGAUACCAUACUGGGGCACACCAGAGAGAGGUUCCAGUUCACAGACCAUCUCAUCUGUGCAACCCUCCUGCAGUGCGAUCGGUUUGAAGAUUAUCAAGUGGAUUUUCCAGAGGAGGCUCUUAAAACCACAGUGAAGGCUUACCCUGUCCUUGACAGCAGCAGGCUGAAGACAGAGCUAGAACUCCUCUACAGCAACGAGGAAUUCAGAGCGUGUAGUGGUGCGGUGGACUUCCUCCAAUUCUUUAUGGAGAACAACUUGGGGGAGCUUUUUUCAGAGACGGUAACCCUUUUGAAAAUACUUGUCACCACACCAAUGACGACAGCAGAAGCAGAGAGGUGCUUCUCGACUCUUAAGCGAGUGAAAACAUUCCUGAGAAACACAAUGUCGCAAGAUCGCCUCAACGCACUGGCUACCCUGUCUAUGGAGAGGGCCAUAGUAACAGAGAUGACUGACUUUAACGUUAAAGUCAUUGACACAUUUUCAAAUUUAAAAGAGAGAAGGGCCAAGUUCCUCUACAAGUAGCACUUAAGCAUUUAAGCACUUUUGUGUGUGUGUGUGUGUGUGUGUGUGUGUGUGUGUGUGUGUGUGUGUGUGUGAGAGAGAGAGUCAGUGAGAGAGAGAGAGAGAGAGAGAAUGAGAGAAUGAGAGAAAGAGUGUGUGUGUGAUCCGAAUACAUCAAAUACAUGUAAAUGUAUCCACUUUUCAUUACAUAAAAUUUUCACUUUGUAUUUCUAAUUUUCUGACUACCUGUGUUUCUUUCAAUAGUUAUUUGAAUGCACUGUCUUGAGCAGGUCAAGCUGAACAGGUUACCCCAAAAUACACCAGAAUGCAGGAAAUUGCAUCCUAGAAAUC